rnacentral:lncRNA from 1 species
CUAGUAUCACACUUAUACUAAUCAUACAAGUCUGAAAAUAAUUCAUAAUAUUCAUAAUAGCUAUGAUAAGCUAAUACACACGAAUAUUCCAAUGCAAGUAGUCAUAAUGCUGAUAAGCUAAUUCAAGUCAUAAAAUUCCACUUCUAAACAGUCCUUAGUCAGUGACACGCUAAGAUAUGAUAGAGUUCUGAAACUAAUUACAAUUCAAUAAUGAAAUUCAACAUGAGAAGAACAAGUAGCACUUCAUUUCAUUCAAAAACCUGAGAGAUACAGGAUGUGUACCUGGAAUUGAAACAAAAUAGGGAGAAAGUAGUAUCAGCAGUAUAACAACACUCAAUUUAAGCAGGAAACCAGCAGUUCCAAGUUGAAAACCCAGGAAAUUAGAGUAGGAUACAGCAAAUCUCCCAAAUUGGCUUCAAUCAAACCAAAAUUCGGCAGACUUAAACCUAGAUUUGAUGAACCUAAAAUGACCUUCAACAUUAACUUCCUAUUGAUCUCAAAACUUAAAAGCAAGCUUCAGAUGUUUUGAAACUGGAUGAAACAGUGCAUUUUUUUUUUAAUUUCAGAAGUUUUUCAGGAGUUUUUGGAUUUCAGUAGGUUUUUUAAUUUGAAUUUUGAAAUUUCAGAGUUUUUUGAAUCUUUAGUGCUUCUAGAAACUAGUGGGAUUUUUUUAGAUUUUUAAAAACUUAAACAAGACAAUG